GCUGCCGAGGCCGGCGCCCGCCAGCGACGACAGGUUGGAUCUGGACGGUGUGCUCGUAGCGCCUCUCACCAUCUGCAUGAGCGGGGCGGUGGAUUCAUCUGCGAGCACCUCAUGGCCGAGACCCCGGACUCCGUCCUCGCCGUCGACGUCUACUGCUACAAGAUCCGCCGCCUCGUCGACCCACCCCCGCCCCACCUCGCCCGCUGCAGCAACUUCCACCUCCUGAACGUCAAGAACAACUCUGGCCUGGAGGGCCUCAUCAAGAUGGUCGAUCUGGAAUGCUAGGCCCGAUGUUUCCGUCUUUUUUUCUGUAAAAGAGAGGAAGUGGGAUCAACCUGCAGAGGAUUUGGUCGCCGCGGCUGCGGCGGCGAGACUGCCCAUCUUUCAAUUCCGUGGCACUACUGCAUAUCCUGCCGCCAUCGCUCGUUCCACCGGUGCUUCAGAGUGCUGCUGCUGCUGCUGCUGCAAUUCAGAAACUAAGUCAGGCAAAACUAGUGGCUGAGCUUAUAGCACGAGAAAUUGUUAUAAAUGAUGCUGAUCAAUCUGUACGGCAUAAGCUCACGAAACGGCAAACACAAAACGAGGUAAAUCAGUUGCAACCAAACAAUCGUGAUGUACUUGUUCUGUUGAAAGUCUGCUGGUACAUUGGUUAUAUUCGCUUUCUGUAGCCAGCAUAUGAAAAAAUGUACUAAAAACAUUUGAGGCAGUCGAUCCCAACAGCAGAACAGCAACUAUGCUCGAGAUAGCAGGGAGGCUGUCCAAGCUAGAAAAUAAAGGAUGGAGGCCAAGGCGAACAAUCAUCGUCUGCAAUUGGGAUGCAGAAGAGUUUGCGCUGGGUCUACGGAAUGGACCGAGGAGGACAUGGAUAUGCUUGCUUCAAGAGGUGUUGCUUAUCUGAAUGUAGACAUGUCAAUGUUUGGGCCUGGAAGUCUUAUGCCCCGUGCAACACGACAACUAUGAAUUAAUCAAUGAAGCAAGCAGAAUGGUACCCGAUCCUGAUGAUCCGUCUCAUACCUUGUAUGACUACAUGGCACAAAUGAGCGAUCAUGAGAGCUUCAUUUGAUUGAAACAUACUGAAGUAUUAAGCUCCUAUUUUCAUACUGCAAGAGUGGCCGGUGCAGGAACAGAUUUUGCAGCUUUUGUCGAGCACAUUGGAGUCCCUUCACUUGACAUCUCUUAUGGAUUAUUUUCAGAAUACCCUGUCUACCACUCGCUAUACGAUGAUUUUGAUUGGAUGGAGCAGUUUGGAGACCCUUUGUUCCACAGACAUGUAGUAUGUACUGAGCGAGCUAUCUUUUCAAAUUCAGAAAGUUCACUAUAGCGCUGACUAACCCAUUUUACUGAGACUUGCAGAUGAUGAGAUCAUUCCCUUCAAUUAUGUCCCCUACGUGUCUGAACUGGAGGUAUUUUCUCUUCUGGCAACUGAGAUAGACACACAGGGUAAUCCCCUAAUUCAGUUUCAUCAAGGAAACUGAAACAGAAUCAUGAAUUCAUGAUAGACUCGCUUCUUAUUGAUUGGUACACACAUUUUUUUCAUGAAAUUAUCGUUAAGUGUGGCAUGUAGAAGUAGCUCCAACAAUUACUUGAAACAUGGACUAUCUGCCGUCCUCAUGACAACAGAUGUUGCAAGCACAAAAGAAGGGCCAUAACACGAGGGUACGCAUGCUGAAAGUCAAAGAGAUCAACGACCGAUGGACGAUGGCGGAGCGAGCCUUCACCAACCAAGAGUGGCUCGGAGGGAGACCGUGGUCCAAACAUAUGAUGAGCAUCAAAGCUGCAGGCUUGUUACAUAGUACUGUAGUUGUCUGAACUCCGAAGUUAGUCUGAAACUAACCACAGUAAUGGUUUUUCUCCUUCGGCAGAUUUAUGCCUCGUCGGACCAGGACGACUGGUGGGGUACCAAAGCCUUCCCCGGCAUCAUCUCGGCCAUCGUGAACGCGCAGAAGCUCAACACGUCGGAAUCUUGGCGGCUGUUGCAGCAUGAGAUUUACAUGGGUGCAAGGACCUUAUUUGUUAUGAAAUGGCAUAUUGUUAUUCGUAUGUGUAUUAUUGACUUGCCAAAUUCUUGACCUCCUAUGGUAUGAUCAGAUCAAUAUAAAGAGUGUGGCUUCUAUUCUUUUAACA